GAGAGAGAGAGAGAGAGAGAGAGAGAGAGAGAGAGAGAGAGAGAGAGAGAGAGAGAGAGAGAGAAGCAAGCUGUGAUUUUGUACAUUUGAGUUAAGUAAAGUGAGAGGCAGGCAGGCAGUGGGUGAUGCUGUGUGAUGCAGGGUUUGUACAGAGCAGGGGCUACGCUGAACCAAAGACAAAAUAAAGAA